rnacentral:rRNA from 1 species
UGUACAAAGGUAGCAUAAUCAUUUGUCUUUUAAUUGGGGUCUGGAAUGAAUGGUUGGAUGAGAAAUUGACUUUCUUUAUUUUAUAGAUAAAACUUAAUUUUUAAAUCAAAAAGUUUAAAUAUUAAUGGAGGACGAGAAGACCCUAUAGAACUUUAUUUAUCCUAAAAUAUUAUUUACUUGUAAAUAAUCUAUUAUUAUUUUAGGAUAAAUUUUGUUGGGGUGACAAAAAAAAAUUAAUAACUUUUUUUAUAUAGAUCAUAGUCAUAUGAUUUUUUGAUCCUUUAAUAAGGAUUAUAGGACUAAGUUACCUUAGGGAUAACAGCGUUAUUGUUUUAGAGAGUUCAUAUUGAUAAAAUAGUUUGCGACCUCGAUGUUGGAUUAAAAUUAGUUUCAGGAGUAGAAAAUUGAUUAACUAGGUCUGUUCGACCUUUAAAUUUUUACA